GUUGGCUGGAUUCGGCUUAGAGUUUGAUCCUGGCUCAGAUUGAACGCUGGCGGCAGGCUUAACACAUGCAAGUCGAGCGGAAACGAUCCUAGCUUGCUAGGAGGCGUCGAGCGGCGGACGGGUGAGUAAUGCAUAGGAAUCUGCCCAGUAGUGGGGGAUAGCCCGGGGAAACCCGGAUUAAUACCGCAUACGCCCUUUGGGGGAAAGCAGGGGAUCUUCGGACCUUGCGCUAUUGGAUGAGCCUAUGUCGGAUUAGCUAGUUGGUAGGGUAAAGGCCUACCAAGGCGACGAUCCGUAGCUGGUCUGAGAGGAUGAUCAGCCACACUGGGACUGAGACACGGCCCAGACUCCUACGGGAGGCAGCAGUGGGGAAUAUUGGACAAUGGGGGCAACCCUGAUCCAGCCAUGCCGCGUGUGUGAAGAAGGCUUUCGGGUUGUAAAGCACUUUCAGUGGGGAGGAAGGCGUGAUGGUUAAUACCCAUCAUGAUUGACGUUACCCACAGAAGAAGCACCGGCUAA
rnacentral:rRNA from 1 species